CACGUAGGGUGCAAGCGUUGUCCGGAAUUAUUGGGCGUAAAGAGCUCGUAGGCGGUGUGUCGCGUCGGCCGUGAAAACCUGCAGCUUAACUGUGGGCUUGCGGUCGAUACGGGCAUCACUGGAGUUCGGCAGGGGAGACUGGAAUUCCUGGUGUAGCGGUGAAAUGCGCAGAUAUCAGGAGGAACACCGGUGGCGAAGGCGGGUCUCUGGGCCGAUACUGACGCUGAGGAGCGAAAGCGUGGGGAGCGAACAGG
rnacentral:rRNA from 1 species